AGCAAAUUAGAGCUUGAUAGGAAGCUUUUCAUUUACACUGAAAUUAUAACUGUGCAAUUCAGUUUGGUUUGAU
rnacentral:tRNA from 1 species